GUGCAUGCCUGUAAUCCCAGCUACUCGGGAGGCUGAGGCAGAAGGAGAAUCGCUUGAAUCCGGGAAGCAGAGGUUGUGGUGAGCUGAUAUCGCACCAUUGCACUCCAGCCUGGGCAACAAGAGUGAAACUCCGUCUAAAAAAUAAACAAAUAAUAAAAACAGUUCAGUAGUUAGAGUAACCAGGAAUAUUCAUGGAGUAAUUUAAAGGUGCAGAAAGCUAUCAGGUACCAAAACAGCUAUUUUUAUUGGCCUAAUAUUGUGUUUGUGCUUCACAUCAUCAAAUAAUCUUUUGGGUUGGAUCUAGUAUUUUAAAUAGAAGGCCUUGUUAAAGCAGAAUAUGAGUUUGUGAAGGCACACAUUGUUUGUCUCCAGAUUAAUUCAAUGUGUUAGCGAAGUGUCCUGGAGCAGGAUCUCGUGUCAAUCCAUGGGACAACUAUCCUUAAAAGGGUGCUGGGCCACUUUUACCUAUAUGCCUAGGGAACUUUUGCUUGUGGAAAACAUGACCUACUCCCAUAGGCUGUUGUCACCUUAAAUAAUACUUUAUUUUAGGGAUGGAAGAGAUUUGGGGUAUCCUUUUCAUUUGGACUCAUAUGCAUAUGCGUAACCUUACAAUCUGGUAUGUUACAGGAUACCAUUGCAGUUUUCUACCGAGCCCACUAUGUAAUAUUCAAAAUUAUACCUGAAUGUCCUUAGAGAAAAUGUGAUAACCUGGGAAAAAUGUGUAAUAAUAACCUGCUGAACCUUUUAAUAAUGACUUGCCACAAGUAAAAUAUUCUCAUUUACACCUAUACCUAUCUAAUCUACCUGGUUUACAUCCUUCUCUGCGAAACAGCUAGUAAACUAGUGAUUAAUCUUCCUCUUUAUUCUACAACAUCUUUCAGACCAAAGGCCAAAUUUUAUAUUUUAGCAGGUUUCAUUUUAUUGAUAUAUUAUUACUCACUUUUUCAAAAUUGAAUCAUUG
rnacentral:lncRNA from 10 species